rnacentral:rRNA from 1 species
UAUUUAUUASAUAAAAAACCAACGCCCUUCGGGGCUCCUUGGWGAAUCAUAAUAACUUAACGAAUCGCAUGGCCUUGCGCCGGCSAUGGUUCAUUCAAAUUUCUGCCCUAUCAACUUUCGAUGGUAGGAUAGUGGCCUMCCAUGGUGGCAACGGGUAACGGGGAAUUAGGGUUCGAUUCCGGAGAGGGAGCCUGARAAACGGCUACCACAUCCAAGGAAGGCAGCAGGCGCGCAAAUUACCCAAUCCCGAUACGGGGAGGUAGUGACAAUAAAUACUGAUACGGGGCUCUUUUGGGUCUCGYAAUUGGAAUGAGAACAAUUUAAAUCCCUUAACRAGGAACAAUUGGAGGGMAAGUCUGGKGCCAGCASCCGCGGWAAUUCCAGCUCCAAUAGCGWAUAUUAAAGUUGUUGCAGUUAAAAAGCUCGUAKUUGAACCUUGGGUCUGGCUGGYCGGYCCGCCUCACCGCGAGUACUGGUCCGGMUGGACCUUUCCUUCUGGGGAACCUCRUGGYCUUCWCUGGSUGUGGGGGGAACCRGGACUUUUACUGUGAAAAAAUUARAGKGUUCAAAGCAGGY